UACGUAGGAUGCAAGCGUUGUCCGGAAUUACUGGGCGUAAAGGGCGAGCAGGUGGCACUACAAGUCUGAUGUAAAAUCUCCCGGCUUAACUGGGAGGGGCCAUUGGAAACUGUAGAGCUGGAGUGCAGGAGAGGCUAACGGAAUUCCCGGUGUAGUGGUGAAAUGCGUAGAUAUCGGGAGGAACACCAGUGGCGAAGGCGGGUCUCUGGACCGGUUCUGACGCUGAGGCGCGAAAGCGUGGGGAGCAAACGGG
rnacentral:rRNA from 1 species